rfam:Triticum aestivum genome assembly, contig: Triticum_aestivum_CS42_TGACv1_scaffold_408582_5BL
AUUCUACUCCCUCCGUUGCACAAUACAUGCCUUCUAUUUGUCAAAAUAUAUAUGUAUCUAGACAUGCUUUAGUAUAUAGGUACAUCCAUUUUUGGACAAAUGGAAGUCAAGUAUUUUGGAACGGAGGGAGUACACA